AUUUAUUUCUUCUUUACGUGAGACGGAUAUGUAUGUGCGAAAAGAAGUUCGUUUCGAAAACGAAAAUUUCGAAAAGGGGACAGAGCAAAAUUUUGUGUCUCGUAUAGAUCGAUAAUUUUCAUUGUUCUUUCCUUUUUUUUUAUUCUUUAUUCUUUUAUAAUAUUAUAUUCAUCGAAAGUUCGGAGCAAUUUUGCUUUUCGAUAGAUCGAAAGAACGAACAACCAACGAGAAGCUGUUCAAGAGAGAAGACAUUCUUAACAUCUUGGAUACCGAACUAUUUUUAAGUAUAGGCCACGUGUCCCAUAAAUAAUCUACGUUAUUAACUAUCAUAGUAAAGUGUAAAACACGAGUUAUAUGAUAUUUAUAAGAGCGAAAAAAUAAUUAAUGGAAAGAGAAAGCGGUCAUCCAACGAAUUUCUCGAGGAUAAAUACAGUAAUAAAUGACCCUUUAGAAAAAGUUCAACGGACCGUCAAGAGUGUGCACGACGAAUGUUCCGGAACGAGAGAAAGAGGAAGUUUCGGAAAGGAAGAAGAACGAGACGACGAUAUCAAAGAUGCUCGAAGCGAAGCAAAGUGGGCGUUCGAUUACGGUGCCUCGUUAAAACCGAUCCUCUCGAGUGCGUUGAUUAAUAUGGAAAGCAACACGAAUUUUAGGUGCAAACGCAUGGAAGAAAACCGGUUGUCGGUGGGCAAUCGCGAUUCGCGGCACGGUCAAGUGCGCUGGAACGUUUGUAAGAACGUCUCUCUCUCUCUUUCUCUGAAAACAAACAUCUUUGGAGUAAUGAGCCAAACGAGGAAUAUAUUUAUGAAGGACGAUAAAAAUACGCGAGACAGGAAUCGCAGCUAACUUUAAUUACGGCACUGAAUUUCCAUCGAUAAUGACGAUGUAAUGACCCCAGAACUCGGAGUUUGUUUUGUAAAUACUUGAGAAGUAAACAAAAAAAUAAAAAGAAAAAAAAAGAAACUAAGAAAAAGAAGGGGAAAAAAA